GUUUAAUGUCUUCGAAAAAGUCCGUUAGCGUUUCUACCGUUUUCAGACGACGUAUCGUCAGAGUGACAAAAUAAUCCUUCUACUACAGAAGGGAGUGUCCAAGAUUUCAAUAUUUCUGAAGGGAGCUGCUGACAGAGAUGUAGGAAGCGCUGAAAAGAUUCUUCAGUGCUGAUGGCCUGCUGCAUCCAGCAGAGUCGGAGUGAACCUACUGUAAGA